rnacentral:rRNA from 1 species
GACGAACGCUGGCGGCGUGCUUAACACAUGCAAGUCGAACGGAUCACCUUUGCUUCGGUUUUGGUGGUUAGUGGCGAACGGGUGAGUAACACGUGAGCAACCUGCCCUUCACCGGGGGAUAACUGUGGGAAACUUCAGCUAAUACCGCAUGUACACCUUCUAUCGCAUGGUGGUUGGUGGAAAGUUUUUUCGGUGGGGGAUGGGCUCGCGGCCUAUCAGCUUGUUGGUGGGGUAAUGGCCUACCAAGGCUUUGACGGGUAGCCGGCCUGAGAGGGCGACCGGCCACACUGGGACUGAGAUACGGCCCAGACUCCUACGGGAGGCAGCAGUGGGGAAUAUUGCACAAUGGACGGAAGUCUGAUGCAGCAACGCCGCGUGCGGGAUGACGGCCUUCGGGUUGUAAACCGCUUUCACCAGGGGCGAAUUUGACGGUACCUGGAGAAGAAGCACCGGCUAACUACGUGCCAGCCGCCGCCGUAAAAC